GCUCUGCCUGCCUCAGAUCACACAGGCAUCCCCAGAGGGCCCUGUGGUAUCCAGGGCCAGCAGAUGGGGAGAGCAGAGAAGCCAUUUCACCUGCUCGACUUUUAGGGCAGUGGUAAUAGCUGAAGAAGCUGGGAGAUGAGACCCAGGUGAGACUAAACACAGAAGGUCCAUCUAAUGAUUCUCGGGACAGUUAAAAGAGGUUCACUAGGGCUGAUCUAAAGAGGCACGAACCCUGUCAGGCUGCGUGGAGUUAGUGAAGAGAGGCGAAGGACAAGCCACAGAAAAGCAACGGGUUUUUUGACACGGAGUGCUGAGAAGCUUACGCUACAGCCUGGGAGACCGGGUCUGAGGAGAACUCCGGACUUAUAAAACCCCAGAGCUCUGGGGUGGGGGUGGCCAGGUAAGGCACACCCUCUGGGGCAGCAAAAGGACUUCGGCCAAUCACAGCCUUUCCUCAAGGAGAAGGCUACACCUUUCCUCGUCUCCGCCCUCUGGGCCAAGUGACCAAUCUGCAAGCGCCUACAGGAAGUCGCUCUCAGUAUAGCCAAUAAAGCAGCGAAGCCCGCAGCGGCGCCCGAAUGACGCGCUGGCGCCUGGGUUCUGUAGUUCUCUCAGGGAGACAGACCUUACC
rnacentral:lncRNA from 1 species